rnacentral:rRNA from 1 species
AGUGAACGCUGGCGGUAGGCCUAACACAUGCCAGUCGAACGGCAGCACAGUAAGAGCUUGCUCUUACGGGUGGCGAGUGGCGGACGGGUGAGGAAUACAUCGGAAUCUACUUUUUCGUGGGGGAUAACGUAGGGAAACUUACGCUAAUACCGCAUACGACCUACGGGUGAAAGCAGGGGAUCUUCGGACCUUGCGCGAUUGAAUGAGCCGAUGUCGGAUUAGCUAGUUGGCGGGGUAAAGGCCCACCAAGGCGACGAUCCGUAGCUGGUCUGAGAGGAUGAUCAGCCACACUGGAACUGAGACACGGUCCAGACUCCUACGGGAGGCAGCAGUGGGGAAUAUUGGACAAUGGGCGCAUGCCUGAUCCAGCCAUACCGCGUGGGUGAAGAAGGCCUUCGGGUUGUAAAGCCCUUUUGUUGGGAAAGAAAAGCAGCAGGUUAAUACCCCGCUGUUCUGACGGUACCCAAAGAAUAAGCACCGGCUAACUUCGUG